rnacentral:rRNA from 1 species
GACGAACGCUGGCGGCGUGCUUAACACAUGCAAGUCGAACGAAGUGGCGAACGGGUGAGUAACGCGUAAUUAACCUGCCCUUCAGAGGGGGACAACAGUUGGAAACGACUGCUAAUACCGCAUACUGAAGGAGGGGACUGCGUAUGAUGAGCUAGUUGGAGGGGUAACGGCCCACCAAGGCGAUGAACAGUAGCCGGUCUUGGCGGAGGAACGGCCACAUUGUGACUGCGACCCGGCCCAGACUCCUUCGGGAGGCAGCAGUGGGGAAUCUUCCUCAAUGGACGAAAGUCUGACGGAGCAACGCCGCGUGAGUGAUGACGGCCUUCGGGUUGUAAAGCUCUGUUAAUCGGGACGCGGUACCUGAAUAGAAAGCCACGGCUAACUACGUGCCAGCAGCCGCGGUAAUUC